rnacentral:rRNA from 1 species
GAUGAAUGCUGGCGGCGUGCCUAAUACAUGCCAGUCGAGCGAACAGACGAGGAGCUUGCUCCUCUGACGUUAGCGGCGGACGGGUGAGUAACACGUGGAUAACCUACCUAUAAGACUGGGAUAACUUCGGGAAACCGGAGCUAAUACCGGAUAAUAUAUUGAACCGCAUGGUUCAAUAGUGAAAGACGGUUUUGCUGUCACUUAUAGAUGGAUCCGCGCCGCAUUAGCUAGUUGGUAAGGUAACGGCUUACCAAGGCAACGAUGCGUAGCCGACCUGAGAGGGUGAUCGGCCACACUGGAACUGAGACACGGUCCAGACUCCUACGGGAGGCAGCAGUAGGGAAUCUUCCGCAAUGGGCGAAAGCCUGACGGAGCAACGCCGCGUGAGUGAUGAAGGUCUUCGGAUCGUAAAACUCUGUUAUUAGGGAAGAACAAAUGUGUAAGUAACUAUGCACGUCUUGACGGUACCUAAUCAGAAAGCCACGGCUAACUACGUG